rnacentral:rRNA from 1 species
GACGAAGGGGGCUAGCGUUGUUCGGAAUUACUGGGCGUAAAGCGCGUGUAGGUGGUUGUCCAAGUUGGAUGUGAAAGCCUUGAGCUCAACUCAAGAAAUGCAUUCAGGACUGGGCGGCUAGAGGACCGGAGAGGAUAGUGGAAUUCCCAGUGUAGUGGUGAAAUACGUAGAUAUUCGCAAGAACACCAGUGGCGAAGGCGGCUCACUGGCCCGGUACUGACGCUGAGGUGCGAAAGCGUGGGGAGCAAACAGG